UACAGAGGUGGCAAGCGUUGUUCGGAAUUACUGGGCGUAAAGGGUGCGUAGGCGGCGCGGUAAGUCGGGUGUGAAAUCUCGGAGCUUAACUCCGAAACUGCAUUCGAUACUGCCGUGCUUGAGGACUGGAGAGGAGACUGGAAUUUACGGUGUAGCGGUGAAAUGCGUAGAUAUCGUAAGGAAGACCAGUGGCGAAGGCGGGUCUCUGGACAGUUCCUGACGCUGAGGCACGAAGGUCAGGGGAGCAAACGGG
rnacentral:rRNA from 1 species